UACGGAGGGGGCUAGCGUUAUUCGGACUUAUUGGGCGUAAAGGGCGCGUAGGCGGCCCGGUAAGUCAAAGGUGAAAUCCCUCGGCUCAACUGAGGAACUGCCUUUGAAACUGUCGGGCUUGAGGCCGGGAGGGGGUAGCGGAAUUCCCAGUGUAGCGGUGAAAUGCGUAGAUAUUGGGAGGAACACCGGUGGCGAAGGCGGCUACCUGGACCGGUUCUGACGCUGAUGCGCGAAAGCGUGGGUAGCAAACAGG
rnacentral:rRNA from 1 species